rnacentral:rRNA from 1 species
GAUGAACGCUGGCGGCGUGCCUAAUACAUGCAAGUCGAGCGAACAGACGAGGAGCUUGCUCCUCUGACGUUAGCGGCGGACGGGUGAGUAACACGUGGAUAACCUACCUAUAAGACUGGGAUAACUUCGGGAAACCGGAGCUAAUACCGGAUAACAUGUUGAACCGCAUGGUUCAACAGUGAAAGACGGUCUUGCUGUCACUUAUAGAUGGAUCCGCGCCGCAUUAGCUAGUUGGUAAGGUAACGGCUUACCAAGGCAACGAUGCGUAGCCGACCUGAGAGGGUGAUCGGCCACACUGGAACUGAGCCACGGUCCAGACUCCUACGGGAGGCAGCAGUAGGGAAUCUUCCGCAAUGGGCGAAAGCCUGACGGAGCAACGCCGCGUGAGUGAUGAAGGUCUUCGGAUCGUAAAACUCUGUUAUUAGGGAAGAACAAAUGUGUAAGUAACUAUGCACGUCUUGACGGUACCUAAUCAGAAAGCCACGGCUAACUACGUG